rnacentral:rRNA from 1 species
UGAGUAACCUGCCCUUAACUCUGGGAUGAGCCUGGGAAACUGGGUCUAAUACCGGAUAUGACUCCUCAUCGCAUGGUGGGGGGUGGAAAGCUUUAUUGUGGUUUUGGAUGGACUCGCGGCCUAUCAGCUUGUUGGUGAGGUAAUGGCUCACCAAGGCGACGACGGGUAGCCGGACUGAGAGGGUGACCGGCCACACGUGGGACUGAGACGACCGGCCCAGACCUCCG